rnacentral:rRNA from 1 species
UACGAAGGGUGCAAGCGUUACUCGGAAUUACUGGGCGUAAAGCGUGCGUAGGCGGUUGGCUAAGUCAGAUGUGAAAGCCCUGGGCUCAACCUGGGAAUGGCAUUUGAAACUGGCCGGCUAGAGUGUGAUAGAGGAUGGCGGAAUUCCCGGUGUAGCGGUGAAAUGUGUAGAGAUCGGGAGGAACACCGGUGGCGAAGGCGGGACUCUGGGCCUACCCUGACGCUGAGGCGCGAAGGCGUGGGGAGCAAACGGG